GGUUAGCGAUCUUUAGCAUGCACCAAAAGGCACUGAUCUAAAAAUUUUGAGAUCAGUGACCAAAAGGAGGUGCUAUAGAUUUUAAAAUUUGCAGACUACGGAAAAAUUUGUUGAUAUCAAAUAUGACGCAAAGGUCGUCUCAACACCAUCUGAAAAAAUUAUCACCAUGCUUUUGAAAUCGUACGAAGCUUGUUGGUUUGUAUGUUUGCCAAUAUUUGUUUAUUGAUAUUUAUAUUGUAUUUAUCAAAAAAAAUUUAAAAGCUAAUUAAAAUGGACGAGAAUAAAUUAGGAGAUUGUAUUGUUUAUGAAAUUGUUUCUUCAUUAGAUCCCGAAGAUUUUGUUAAACAAGGAUCAACAAGUACCUUUAGUUCCCCUUAAAGAAACUCUUGAAGAAGGACACAUUUUCAAUGUUUGUUUAAAACUAAAAGAACAUCACAUAUUGUACACAGUGCAUUAUGUUUCAGCAUUCUCCAGAGGAAUGGAAAAGUAAAUAAAAGCCAGCAAAUGAUGUGGAUUCAAUUAGAAAUUUAUGUUGGUUUACAGGAUCCCAUUAAGGGUCAAAUUAAUGCUUUUAAUACACAUAAGUCUACUCUUUUUGUUCAAGUUCUUCAUGACAGGAAUCUUCACUGGCUUUGUGUGAACACAUACAAUUGUAAGCCAGGUGAGAUUUAUAUCUUUGACAGCUUUUUCCAUGGCUCUAUAUCUGUCGAGACGAAAAAGCAAAGAUGUUCUUUUUUAAAUUGCAACAAAAAGUAUAUAUUAGUUAAAGUAUUACCUGCUCAACAACAAACUAAUUUUUUGGAUUGCGGAUUGUAUGUCAUUGCCUGGGCUUGGACAAUACUCGAAAAUAAAAGUUUACCAUCAACCUCCAUUAUGUUUGAACAAGGGCAAAUGAGAAAUCGUCUCUUAAGAUGUAUACAAAAAAACCAGUUAGAUGUAUUUCCAGUCACUGAAAAUCCCUCACUGUUUAAAAGAUGUUUAGCAAAGAACUUUUGUAUCCCUCUGCAUUGCUCGUGUUGUAUGUUUUGACCAAAUGAAGAUGAACAAAUCUUUAAUAGAAAGGAAACCAAUAAAGCUUCAUCCGAAUUUGCUUAGCAUAAAUGGUUUCUUCUUGUUGUCCCUGGCCACUAGCAUUAUGUUUUGUUGCAUGUUAUCAGACUUGUAUGGUCACUACUUUUGAAGCCUUUCUGACUGAACAAUACCCAGCUGUUUGUCAUCAAUGCCAUUUAUAUCAUGUGAUGUAACACUGACUGCUAUCACUUUUUAAAAAAAACAGUUAGUUAAAGUCUUCUUCAAUCUGUUUCACUCAUUUAGUACGAAUCAGCAGUGAACUUAUACAGAAAUUAUCAAACAAGUUGGAAGACUAAAAACUUUGAUACACUCAAAAAGUCACUUUUCAAGUUUAAUUAUUUCCUUUCGAAAUUGAAUAUACAAUCAAUACCAAAUUAGAGUCACAAAGUAAAUUUAACUUUCUUAAAGCAAUAUUUUAAAUAAAAAAAAUUUAGAAGAAAACUUGUGAUUGUUGUGUUGUUUCUUCUUCCUAUAAAUUAACCUUAUUAUUUAGCAACUAAAUUUUCUUUUUAAUUUAUAAUGUAUUUUAAAAGAAAAAUUUGAAAGAAAAAAUGUUGUAUUUUAUAAUAUUAAAAAAAAAGAACAGGCUAAAACUUUUCUAUAUUA